AGGACGAACGCUGGCGGCGUGCUUAACACAUGCAAGUCAGGGGGCCCAGCAAUGGGCAACCGGCGAACGGGUGCGUAACACGUGAGCAACCUACCGAAAUGUGGGGGAUAGCCGGCCUAACGGCCGAGUAAUACCGCAUACGCUCUCGAUGAGGCAUUUCAUUGAGAGGAAACCUACGGGACAUUUCGAGGGGCUCGCGGCCUAUCAGCUAGUUGGAGAGGUAACGGCUCACCAAGGCAACGACGGGUAGCUGGU
rnacentral:rRNA from 1 species